ACUCUCUCUCUUCAUCUCUGAUGAAGAUGAAUCUUCAUCUUCAACAUCUUCAUCUUAAAAUCGUUUUCUUUAGGUCCAAGUCAAGUGGCUAACUAAGUUUGAAGAGUAGAUAACCAUUUUUUAACAGUAGAUUACUACAUGGCUUAAUUAAUAUAUGUGUGGGAGCGAGAAGUGAGAGAGUAAGAGAGAGAGAGGAGUCAGAGAAGACAGUGGAUGGCGGUAGCGCUGCCGCUCACGGCGGCGGCAGUAGAGACACAGGCGGCGGCGGUCCAGGUUGUUCCGACGAGUGUCAAGGUAACCCCCCUCUCGCUUCCUUUUACCGUACUGAAGUCGGAUAAUGAUGGAUCAGGAUGAUGAUGCUGUUUUUUUUUUAUAUUUGAUUGAUGAUGAUGGAGUCGGUGGUGGCCGACGAUGGCAGCCGGCGAAGCAGCGGCACAGCGGCGACGAUAGUAAAGGUGGAGUCGGUGGUGGUCGACGAUGACGGUAAAGGUGGGGGUACGUCGGAGCUCCGAUCCGGUCGGCGACGGUAAUGUAGGUUCCGGUGACCCAUGUAAAUAUACCGAUCACCUUUAGAAGUGCUUAAGAUGUUUUUGGAUUGUUUUUUGGGUUUUGUUGGUUACAUGAUAUGUUGCUUAAGAUGUUUUUGGA